rnacentral:lncRNA from 1 species
AAUUGCACCUUUCUUGAGGUGGCAUUGUAGAUUGAAAAAUAUUAUGAAAUAUAUAUGUGUCCUAUUGUGGGAUGCUUAAAUGCAUCUGGAGGGAAUACAUUUAGUUAGCUAUGGUGGCAGCAGAUUUUUCCCUUUAUGCAAUUGUUUUUUUUUCUUUCUAUCCUAAUCUUACUAAACUGGUACUUUUUCACAUAUGGUUGGUUUGCAUCUUUAUAGGUGUCAAAACGCCUGGAGGAGCUUCAGCAAGAAUAUGAGAAGAGAAAUGGGGGAACGUUACCCAAAGCAGGGUCUACCAAUAGGCUGCUGCAGGCCAUCAAGCAUAAAGAGCUCUCCAUCAAGCCUGAAAGGAGCAAUUGCGUACAGAAGGAUGAUCCUUCGCCUCGCAUCCUGCACUGAAAUGGAACGUAUAACAUGAAAAUAACAAUGCAAUACGCAUGGUAUGGUGGAGGCCAUUUCUUUUUUUCAUUCUUUUGUUGCACCCCCUUCCAAUGUACGUCUCUGGCAUUCUUUUAAAAAAAAAAAAUCAAAACUCUAAGUUCCAUGAGUCUAUCUUGUCCUUUUUUUUGUCGUUCAAUUGCAUUAUUUUGAGAAUGAGAAUAGGUUGGACAAAGAAAAAUAGGUUGGUUAUCAGAUCAUCACGUAGGGUAAAACUAGUAAAAGGGCAGCGCGUUCUCCAUUCUCUCCAAUGGAAAAGCCACUCCAAGGCUCCACUGUGGCUUCAUUUACAGGCAAGACAGAGGAUGAUGACAAAGGCUUGGAUCCAAGAUCAUACUUGGAUUUUUGAUCCGCUUUGGAUUUAAAUAUCACAGGUUCCUCAAACAAAUUCGUAUACACUGGACGCUCUCAAUACUCAUGGGUCUCCAUCUGAACAUAAAUCAAAACUCACCAUAAUAAAUAAAUGAUAAAGCUUUUUUUGGCAUAUGUACCGAAUAUUUUGCCGAAAUUACAUAUCAAAUAUUUCCUUAUUUUUAUUUGUAAAUUGAUUCAGAUAAUAUUGUGCUUAUUUGCAAAACGGUUCUGGGUUAGCUCAACUGUAUUGGAUGAGCGGAUACUUGUUUUCAUCAUAAUUUGUUGUCCGAACUACUCCUUACCACCUUAAAAGGUGAUUUUCCUAUAUCUCAUGGCAAAGAUGACGCUGUGUGCAUUCACUUCUCAUGGAGGUGGUGUGGGCAAGGGAUGAUAGCCUAGGUAGCAUGGGCAAGGUCAAGGGCUCGACCCAUGCCGUCGACUGGUAGGAGGCGUUGUCGAUGUUGUAUCCAACUAGUAAGGGUGCCUUUGGUGGAAAACUUCUUGGUGGCGAAUAUGUGGGACUAAAGAGAUGCCUCUUGUUUGAUUAGAGUUUUCAUAGGAGAGAGACGAAAAAGUUGUAUUCUCGUGGAAAUAUGAUUCCCACGUUUUAUGAAAAAGUCUUUUCCAUGAGAAAUAUGGAAAAGUUACUUUCCUGUGAAUCGGAAAUCGAAACAUUUUUAUUUUUUCCCAAAAAGGUCCUUCAGCUAUCUUUAUUUGAUCCAAAGUAUUAAAGACUUAAUUUUUAUUAAGAGUAUAAUAGGAAUUACACAUAACUUUCCUAGGAAAGUGGAUGGUCAAUCAAGCAUAAGCACUCUGAAAAUCUGUCACUUUUCCAUAGUCAACUAAACAUUCCAAAAGUAAUUUUUUUAGGCAUCCUCUUCCUAAAAAUUUGCUUUUCAGGAAUUAUAUUUGUAUGAGAAAACAUGCUUUUCGCGAACCAAACGAGCUCUAAGAGACAACACGCAAAGGCAGGCAUCGAAGAACUAAAUGGUGGUGGAGGGGAUGCUGUGGAGGGAGCCACUAAGGAUGGAGGGCGACACUAAGGACAACGUAGCCGAAGUGUUCGGGAGAGAUGGAGCAGGUAGGGAUCUAGCUAAGGUCAAGACCUAAGAUGAACUAAUGAGAUUGGUUAGUGGGGAUGUGUAUAUUAACGCCAAGGAAUGGCUGGGCAAAGCGAAGGUGGUAAGGAAGAGCAGAUGGUGGAGGGAGCACCAAGAUACACAAGGGCCAGGGUAGGAUUGGAGAAUCUAAGACCCUAGUUUAGAGUACCCAAGGAUAUAAUAGUCAUUUCAUAUGCCAAUUUAACUUAACUAGGGACCAUGGUUAGUAUGGGAGAUGAGAGCCUGGCAAAAGAGUUGGCUUGCAAAUAAAUAUAACAUUAUCUGGGAUGAGUUGCUAAUAGUAAUAAUGAGAGAUUUAAUAUAUAAUAUUGGAAAAAUGUUGGAUGUAAUAUGCAAAAAUAGUUAAAGCAAUAAUCUAUAUAGAAAAAUAUUUCUAGUAGAACUAGGACUUGCAACGAUUCUUAGUAGCUCUAACCUGAUGUGGUUAGAGAAAUUGUAAUUGUAAAGGGUUUCAUUUGCAUCGGGCCACCCACCUUUCUGGUUGACAUAUCUCAUAGUUAAUUUUAUUCUCAUGAGCAUGAUACGGAUAAUUACCAUGGAUUAUAUUUAGCAUCAUACGUUUCUAUUUGAAAAUGUUUGUUUAGUUGCAGAUACAUGUCACUAUUCUAUUUUCAGCAUGCGGAAGCUAUCUACCUUGUAUUCAUUGGGGGUAUGGACAUGGGCUAUAUUUCCUUCACCACCAAAUUAAAAAUUAGAAGCAAGAAUUGGUAUCUUAGUAUCCCUUAAUUUACGAAGCAAACCAAGGUUAGGCACUGUAUUUGGAUGGAUAGUUGUGAACUUUCAUAAGUGGGGAGCAAAUGAUUUUAUUAUCAAAAUGAGUUGUUGGAAGGGGUGAAUGUCGAUGGGAUGAACUUGUCUUAGAGGUGAUUCGGGGUUUAGGUGGAUGUCACUCUUUACUAAUCGCAAAGCCUGGAUUUUUAUUAGGAGUGGAAAGAAAGGAUGAUAAUAAAGCUAAAAAUGGAUUGGACAUAGAUCAAGUACUAGUAUAUAUCCAUAUUAUGUCUAUAUCUUUUUCAGAGAAUACGAAUAGAGACACAGAUAUUAAAUGAAUAUCAAAAUUAGUUUCUAUAUUUGUUAUAAAUGGAUAUAGAUAUAAAUAGAAUAUUAAGCAUAUCCAUAUUCACUUUAAACAAAUACAAGUCGGAUAUUAGAUUAUCCAUAUUUUUUCAAUCUAAAUAUAUAUAUAAGUUGGUUACUAUUCAGAUAUGCAUUAGAUUUUGAGUGAAAAUCAACAAUGAAAACUAAUAUAAAUCACAUGAUCAUAAAGGAUGGAGAAAAAUCCACUAUUAAGAUCGGAUGUGAUACACAUUAAUCUGAUAAUAUAUAAAGUGUAGUAUUAAAAUUGCAUGAAGUUUGAUUUGGCCAAUGAUUGGUCCUACCAAAUUAUAUAUUAAAAAUUAUAAAUUAUUUAGAUAAAAUAAAUCUAAUACAAAAAAAUUAUACAUUAAAUACCACUGGUUCUCUUAAAUUGUAGAAUAAAUAAAAGCAUCAUGAAUUGUCUAUAUGUUAAAGAACUUGUAAGAAAAAAAUAUAUAUAAAUAUAGGAAUAUAGAGAAUUUAAAUAUUUUUAAAUAUUUUAGACAAAAAGGUUUUGAAAAUAUCAUAAAGAAUAAAAUGAAGUUAGUCAUUUUCCAUUUUUAUCAAAGGGAAAGGAUUGAAUUUGUUAUGACAAGAAGUAAUUAUUGAAAUAUGAAAUAUCAUAACAUAUUUCAAAUAAGUAUAUUUUAGAGCAUGAAUAAACUUUGAAUGAACCUUAAUUAUUUAACCAAGUAAAAUAUUGUCAUGAUAGCUAGAUGGUUGUCAACCAACUAAGAGAUUGCUGGUUCAAUUAUCUAGAUCUAGAAAACUUAAAUUAUGUAUUUGGAUAUAGUUCCAACCUAUUUUCUAACCUAGGUGGUAAUAAUAAAAUUUUGUUAAUUUAUUGAUAACAAUUGAACUUACAAAAUUAUAUCAAUUUGUCAUAAAUUUAGUAUAUGCAAACAUGCUUUUUUGUAACAAAAAAAAAGUUCCUAUGUCAUGCAUCAUCUAUCUAUCGAAACAUAACAUUAUAAUUCUAAAAAUUUAAAAGAGAAUUGAAUAUUUUAGAUGGUAANNNNNNNNNNNNNNNNNNNNNNNNNNNNNNNNNNNNNNNNNNNNNNNNNNNNNNNNNUCAUAACUAUUAGUACGGCUUAUUAUUGGGUUGAUUAUCUAGAUGUGGGAAAAAUUAAAUCAGUAUGGAUCUGACCUAUUUUCAGCCUUAGGUAGCAAUAAUAAGACUUAUUAAUAUAUUAAUAACCAACUAGACUAAUAAAAUAAUGUCAAUUUGUCAUAAAUUUAAUAUGUGCAAAUCUAUUUUUUCAGGAAAAAAAAGUUUGUAUGUCACGCAUCGUCUAACUAUCAAAGCAUAACACCAUAAUGUCUAAAAAUUUGGAAAAUAAUUGAAUACUUUAUAUGGCAAUGGUUAGAUGAGCACAUGGGAGGACAAUAAAAUAGUGGGAAUGGAUUGGGUGAAAGAAGGUAAAUGCAUGACCAUAGUUUUGUCACUCUAUCUCUCUCGAGCUUCUUCAUCAUUUUUUUUAUUUGAACUUAUUUUUUUAUUUUUACCUACUUGCUUAAGACUCAUAUAAAAAUCAUUUUGUAUUUAGUUUUAAAAUAUAUUAGAAUGCAUUAUAGAUUUGCAGGACGAAUGUUCUAGAAGUGAAGGAGAUUGCAAGUCAUUAACGGAAUGAGAGGAGAGCCACAGCUAGGCUAAAGGAUCUCAAGCUAAAGCAAAAGAAUAGAAGGCUUGUAAGAUCCAAUUCUCUACUCUAAGGAUCUUUUCAUAGAUAAAGGAAGGAUAGAUCAGUUGUUGAAUAUAUUUUUUUUCAUAAAUUGAACAAGGGUUAAGAUAAUACCAAGUAGCAUCUAUUCAAUGGCCUAAGGAGAACAUCAUGGAUUAAGGGUUUAGCUUAAGAGCAAUUGGAUGCUCUAUCCUAGAUCUAAGCUUCUUUUUUUAUCUUUAGAAAGGAAAGCUAGUUAGAGCUCAAAAAUAUAAGAUCUAUUUGGUAUUCUCACAAUUUUUUUCUAUUUUCUGGUGAUUUUCUUGUAGAUUUUUAGGUACUUUGAGAAUGAUUUUAAUUGAUAUAGAUAGAUAUCUAAAAAUUAUGAAAUUUUAACUAGGGCACCAAAGUAAUGAGAGGAGGACAAGUUCGAAUUUGACCUCAAUUUGAACUUAUGUUAUUUGGAUUCAAAAUUCAUCAAACUUGGGCUGAAAAUUGUACCUGGUCAAUUCUAAUUGAUUUACGUGCGUAGGGAACUAACCAAUUUGAGUAUGAAAAUGACUAAUUGGGCGUAUAAAUCGCUAAUUGGGGUAGACAGAACUUAGAAUUGGGAAUUGGAUUAGUUGGUGGACUAGGCUUGUUAGUUCAAGUUAAUUUAGCAAAAAUAGUAACAAUUUUGCUCACUUGAGCUCUCAAAUGGUCAACUUGAGGUGGAUUGAGAGUAAGUAAAUUAAGUUUGAAAUGAAGUAGGAAGGGAAAAUUUGGAUCGGAAUGGAAGAGUGAGGGUUUGCAAUUUGAGCAAAUGGGUCAAGUGAUGCAAUUGCAUGCAAUUGGAUUCAGUUGAAUGUGCAAUUGAUUAAUCGAAUCUAGGAUGAAUUAGAUAUUGAUCAAUUUAGAGCUAAGUUAAUCAAGAAAAGUAGAUUAGUGAGAUGAAGAUCUACCAAAACCAAGGAGCGUGAACACUUAUUAUUUUUAGGCCUAAAACUUGGAAGGGAAUGUCUAGGGUGUCUACGGUUAUAAUACUAGAGACCAUAUACACGUACGGCAUAUUUGACGGAAGAGAUAAGAAUAAGCAACUGGUAGAAUCCAAUCUAUUUAGGAGGUAGAAUUAAAGAAUGCAAUCAAUUUUGAAGUUUAAGUUAAAUCAAAGAAAUAGAUAAUGUACAAUUCUUUGUAGAGUUUUACAAAAAAAGUUAGAUUUGACUGGAAAAGGAGAAAAGAGCGCAGGUAAAAAAGUGGGAGUUCUUGCAAUAAAAGUUGAUUGAUGGAAUUAAGAGAGAAUAUUCCCUUCAUUUUAGAACUGUUAUUUUCAUAUAACAAUUUUGAUAAGACAGAUAAAUAUUAAUGAAUUUUCUAAUACAAUUAUUACACUUCAAGCCACAUGGUUCUAAAUUUUAAAGUAGUCUUUAAGGUAGGAUAAAUAGACAAUAUUAUGAAAAAUUGAUUUUAGAAAAAUCUAUACUUUGAAUGGAAAUAUAUACUUUUCCGGGUGCAUUCACAAAAAAUGCCCAAUUUGUAAAGUUAUUCUUUUACAUUGUUGGAAAACCCAACUUCGUUAUGUUAUAUUAUAGGUAGGCUAACAUUAAAAUACAAUAUUUUCGUAUGUUUGUCACUUUAGUACAAGAUUAUGGUGAUGAACUAGAAAAUGUGAUUUCUAAAUUAGCCUUCGUUAAAAAUCAAAACUCUAGUUUUGGAACUUCGACUUUGUCGCAAUGGCGGAAAAUUUAAUUGCCAUAGGCUAGAAUUGCCGAACAUACUUUUUCAUAUGACCAACCUACAUGACACUUACAUGGUAGGAAACUCAUCUAUUCUAUUAAAUAUUAUUUAGUAAUAUUUUUAUUAAUUAAUUUUUUUAAUUUGCUAUAUUGAGAUAAAGUCAUAUCUUUGAGAUAUCUUUGAGAUGGGUCCAUGAAAAAAGUGAAAAGAACUGUGGGCUCUCGAGAUUUUUUUUUAUAUAAAAAAAUUCUUAAAUCUAGGUGGGGCUAAUUCCAACCUAUUAUCCGAUACCAACCCGGCCUUAUCUAAGCUUUUGCCUAGGCCUCCAAGUAGGUCAAGCCACCAUCCAUGGAACCAAGCUUUGCUACUAAGGAUUGAAGUAAUGGCGGACAAUAAAUCUAGCCUUUUGCUCAAGUGGUAAGAGUGGGUACUAUUCGAACUAAAAAGAAGUUUUUAGAUUUCAAAAUAGAAUGGGUCUCUAAAGGAGCUACUUUGAAAUACGCACGGGAGAGUGGAGGAGAUGUAGGAGAAAACUUCUCUAUCCAUACCAUCUCUUUGUAUUAAAUGACAUUUUAGUUGAUACAAUCUAAUAAUUAAUCACAACCAUGUAUCUCUUAUAGAUCAAUCACAAAACAAUCAUAAGCUUGUGAUCUAUGAACUCCAAAACUAAACUAUGACAUGGCAUAAUUGUCAAACUUUUAUGAUCUCAUAUAAAUUUUGAAAUUUUAUGAUAAUCUAGUUAUAAUACAUAUAAUAGAUAUUUAGAAAUUUUUAAAUUUUCUUGUUAGUAAAAGCAAAUAUUUGCAUAACCAUCUUGGAUGUCAGGUAGGUUGCCAAACUCUAAGCUUUACAGCAGCUUAGGCCCCAUUUGGAGAGUUUUUGGAGAGCCAAAGAGUAUUUUCUAGCCCUCAAAAAAUACUUUUAGAUAUAGAGGUGUUCAGUAAAAUUUUUGAAAAGCUGUUUUAAUUUUUCUAGAAAGCUAAAUACAAUAUUAUUUUUCAAAAUGGAGCUUCUCCAAAAAAAACAUUUUUGGGAAUUGUCGGAAAACUAUUUUGAGUUAAUAUCCUUUUUGGACCAAAAUACUCAUAAUAAAAUAUAAUAAUUUCACAAAAUAUUCCUUUAUAAUAAUAUUUUAUACUUUUAUUAUUAUAUUAUACUAUAAAUAUUAUAUUACAUUAUAUUAUAUCAUAAUACAUUAAUAUGUUAUGUUAAAUAAUUUAAUAUUAUGUUAUAUUAUGCCAUAGUUAUCGAGAGGAUGCAAAAUUAAUUUAUGCUAAUAAUUAUAAUAUUUUAUACCUUUAUUAUUGUAUUAUACUAUAAAUAUAAUAUUAUAUUACAUUUUAUCAUAAUACAUUGAUAUGUUAUGUUAAAUAAUUUAACAUUAUAUUAAAUUAUUAUGUUACAUUAUACAAUAUAAUAUUACUAUAUUAUAAUACUAUUAUAUUACAUUACAUUAAUAUUAUACUAUAUCAUAUAUUUAUGUAUUAAUAUAUAUUAUAUUUUAUUAUGCUCUGUUGUAUAAUACUAUAUAAUAUCCUUUAUGGUCAUUUUAUCAUACCAAAAGUACUUUCUUAGUUUGUUUACCAAAUAUAUGUUAAAGUUCUACAACACUUUAGAAAGAUAGUUAACAAACAACAAACAGCUUUUUAUAAAACCUAUAUUUUCAAAAGCUUUACUUUCAAAAGCUCUACUUACAAAAAUUCUAUUACGCUCUUCCAAACAUGACCUCUUUUGGAGAGUCAAAAAGUACUUUCUAACCAUCCAAAAGCAUUUUUAGAUAAAAUAAGAGUGUUUGGUAAAAAUUUCAGAGAGCUAUUGUAGCUUUGCCAGAAAAGCUAAAAGCAGCUUUUUGGGAGAAGCUCCAUUUUAGAACUUUUCUGAAAAAACAUUUUUAGGCCUCAUCGGAAAGUUGUUUCGAGUUAUAAUAUUUUUUUCUUUUUGGACCAAAAUACAUGUUAAAAUAUAACAAUUACAUAAAAUGCCCUUUUAUUAUCAUAAAAAUCUGCAGGAGUCCCAACAAAAAAUAUUAUAUUAUAUUAUAUUAUAAUCAUAAAAUAUUUUAUAUCUUUAUUAUUGUAUUAUACUAUAAAUAUAAUAUUAUAUUACAUUAUAUCAUAAUACAUUAAUAUAUUAUGUAAAAUAAUUUAAUAUUAUGUUAUAUUAUGAAAAAUUAAUUUGUGCUAAUAAUAUAAUAUUUUAUACCUUUAUUAUUGUAUUAUACUAUAAAUAUAAUAUAAUAUUAUAUUUUUAUCAUAAUACAUUAAUAUUUUAUGUUAAAUAAUUUAAUAUUAUGUUAUAUGAAAAAUUAAUUUAUGCUAAUAAUUAUAAUAUUUUAUACGUUUAUUAUUGUAUUAUACUAUAAAUAUAAUAUUAUAUUAUAUUAUAUCAUAAUAUAUUGAUAUGUCAUGUUAAAUAAUUUAAUAUUAUAUUAAAUUAUUAUGCUAUAGUAUAUAAUAUUAUAUUAUAUUAUAUCAUAUAUUUAUAUAUUAAUACAUAUUAUAUUUUAUUAUGUUCUAUUAUAUAAUAUUAUGCAAUGUCCUUUAUGGCCAUUUUGUCAUACCAAAAGUAUUUUCUUAAGUUGUUUAUAAAUACAUGUUAAAGUUUUACAGCACUUUAAAAAUAUAGUUACUAAAUAGUAAAUAUUUUUUUAUAAAAGUUUUACUUAUAAAAAUAAAAUAAAAAUAAUAAUAAUAAUAAUAAAACAUAUUUUCAAAAAUUGGCAGCGCCACAGUAUUAGCGUAAGCGCUGGGCCCAAGCCGCCUUUUUCCGGUUGCACUCUUCUGCCCUAAAACCCUAAAACCCGCGGUCCCGUAACCGCCUUUUCUAUCUCUACCAUAUCUCCUCACUUUCCGCCACCGUCGGCCGCCGCGGCCGAAACUGGAAUUUACCCAAAAAGUUUUUAAAAAAUGCAGGCAACGGCGGCCGCUCACCGUCACCACCUCUACUCUCCGUUCACCGCCCCCUCCUUCUCGCACCAUCUCUCCCAAACCACGCGAAUCGGAAGCCGCCGCCGCCGCCGAUCGCCGGCGCCGUUCGGCGUCCGGAUGAGCCUCCGUGACGACGGCCCCGCCCUCGCGGUGGUCGGCGUCACCGGCGCCGUUGGCCAGGAGUUCCUCCGCGUCCUCUCCGACCGCGACUUCCCCUACCGCAGCAUCCGCAUGCUCGCCAGCCACCGCUCCGCCGGCCGCCUCAUCCCCUUCGAGGGCCGUGACUACGUCGUGGAGGAGCUCCGCCCUGAGAGCUUCGAUGGCGUCGACAUCGCCCUCUUCAGCGCCGGCGGCUCCAUCUCGAAGGAGAUGGGCCCGGCCGCCGUCGAGCGGGGCGCCAUUGUGGUCGACAACAGCUCGGCCUUUCGGAUGGACCUGGAGGUCCCGCUCGUCAUCCCGGAGGUGAACCCCGACGCCAUGGCGCACAUCAGGCUCAAUGGGAGGUCGAACGGGGCCCUCAUCGCCAACCCCAAUUGCUCCACCAUCAUCUGUUUGAUGGCCGCUACGCCUCUCCAUCGUCACGCCAAGGUACUAUUUCUACAAGUCUCUUUCCUCCACGAUCGAAUCUUGGUGUUGUCUCCAUCUGAUAUUGUACUCCCUUUCCUACUAAAAAUCUGAUCUUGGAGUUAUUUCAUUGCGGCCGUCUUAUCAAGCCUCUGAAACCAGCAUGGUGAUCAUCCUAUAAGCACCGCGAGCCGUGUGCUCGAGUAUUAUCAUGUUUCAGGAUGUUGACACCAUAUCCAUUUCAUCUUUCUUGCCAUCUAUUUUUUGGUAGGAUUCCUGCAAAGAUAAGCUCUCAAUGUAAAAAACCAAUUUUACCAGUUUGAUAGGUCAUCUAAUGCACCAUGAAACAUCGUUAAUGAAUCUAUCAAGCAUACUAUGCUUAAUUUCCAAUAUUUUUGAUAGCUGUCAAUCUUAUCAUCUCACAACAAACGUAGGGUAGAUUCCAUGUUCAUACACCCAAUCAAAAAUUUAUUUGUAGUUCAAAAGAAGGGUUUGGAUUAGCUCUGAGAAUUUGGUUAGGCUUCAGUUUGGCAUCCUUGCUGGAAUAACUUUUGAAUUCGAAUUUCUAGAGUACUUCUGUACCUUUUCACUUGAAGUUUUUGAAUGUUGUGAUGAUCAGUGCCAACCUAACCUGUCAUCUUGGCUUUGUGCAUGUGGAAGGUGAUGAGAAUGGUCGUCAGCACCUAUCAAGCAGCCAGUGGUGCAGGUGCUGCAGCAAUGGAAGAGCUUGAACUGCAGACUCGUGAGGUAUUCUGCUUGAUUCUCUCUUCCAGUCUGCUUUGUUUUUUCCUUAAGACUGCUGAAUUAUGGUGCAUAUUUUUCUGUAGGUCUUAGAUGGAAAGCAACCCACCUGUAAAAUCUUUAAAAAACAGGUUCUUUUUAUUUUUCCAUCUGGGUUACUGUGAAUUGAAAAUUAUAAUGAAUGGACGGUUGAUGCCAAAUUAUUGGUUAAUUUCUGUUCAUGCAGUAUGCAUUUAAUCUGUUCUCUCAUAAUGCACCAGUUCUCUCAAAUGGGUAUAAUGAAGAGGAAAUGAAAAUGGUGAAGGAAACAAGAAAAAUCUGGGUAACUCUUUCUGCAUUGUGUAUAUGGACACAUUUCUUCAUUCUGUCUUAUUGAUUCUUUCAUCAUUUUCCCAUUUAACGUGCCUCAUCUGUCUUAUGUUUCAAAUGGACCUGUUUUAGAAUGAUAUGGAUGUCAAAGUGACUGCGACUUGCAUACGAGUUCCUGUAAUGCGUGCACAUGCUGAAAGCAUGAAUCUCCAAUUUGAAAAUCCACUUGAUGAGGUGAGCUGUGAAAAAUAACAUGCUCUGCUUGACAACGGAAUCUUAUAAACUGCUAUGCUGGUUGCUAGAGGGUCACUUAUAAUACAGGGAGUCCUUUUUGAUAAAUUGGCUGAAGCCUUUGCUUUGGUGGAUAUCCUUAUGUCCAUAUUGUUGUAUUUAACAGUAGCUCCUGUUUGUGUUGGUACAUAUACCCUUCUGUCCAGUUAUGCAUAUUUAUAAGCAGUCUAAAAUGUCAAGUGGGAUGAGAUUGCUACAAAUAACACCAUCUAGUUUUUGAGAUAAUAUCAUUUAGAGGGGCAUAGCUGGUGGUGAAACUAGCAAAUAGUUCAACAAGUAAUGUAGACACUUUUAAAUUCAUGGUAUCAUAUGAUGAUGAUCAUUGAUGCUGGUCUUGGUUUGCUUCCAUGAAAGAAUACUUAAACCUGAGGUGUAAUUCCAUUAUACAGUUAUGGAAUACCUUUAGCCAUACCUUUAGUAGGGAAUUGGAAUUUGGUUUCAACUUCGAUUACUUGCCAAUUUGGUCACAUGCGUAAGAAAAAAGAUAAAUUUAUGCAUAUUCAUGUACACUGAAAGCAAGCCCUGAUGUCUAGUAUGCAGAUAUUGGGACUUCUUCACAAACUUGUAUUUACUACAUAGCAUUUUGUAACAACAUUGAUAAUUUCAGAGUCAGAACAUACAUAGCUAAAAAUCUAGAUGGUGUUUUAUUUUUUUCUCAUUGUCCUUCGGUAUGUUUGGUGUCAGGCACUUAUUUCUAGCUCAUCCCCCUUCUAUUAUUAGUGUUACCACCAUGACAUUCCUUUCCGUGAUAAGACUUCACAUGCUCGUAAGAUAAUGGCCUCAUGGGUUUUUGUUGUGUCUACACUUUUAUAGUUGUUUUCUUUCUGUAAUUGGUGUUGAAGACAUGGCUGAUGCUAUCAGUUAUCAUUUCAUAAAGUCAUAUUAACUGUUAGAAUUUAUAGAGACACUUUGGCAUGCUAAAAUUGCCUCAACAAAACUCCUUAUCACUAGAUUACUGAAGCUUUGGCCCAAUAAGACAUUUCAUGAAUGAGAGAGGGAAAUGUUUCAGUUAGCAGUUACUUAAGUGCUUAGCAGUAUUUCAUGAACACUUAUGCGUUUUUCUUUUUUUAUCUCCUGAGUCAAUGUGAUCUCAGGUUUUUUAAGCAACAUAUUAGGCCUCUUGUCAAGAGGUGAGUCAAAUUUUUCUGUUUCAAGUAUGAAGCUCAUUUCCAGAAGGGCUUCCUGGAAAGUUGUAUUGUUUGGGAAUAUCUAAUUGAACAUUAAAUAAGCAUAUCCAGCAAAUAUGUGAAUGGUGAAGUGGGUUUGUGGAAAACUAUAGGAAGGAUUGGAUUAGGGACAUGGACUCCAAAAUUGUUGGGAAUUGAGCAAAUGGAAGAUAAAGCAAUGGAGAACUGAUUGAGAUGGCAUAGUUUUGUGAGAAAAGAAAAUGGUGGGGCCUUGAUGUUCCUCAACUGUCGGCAUGGAUAUCUAUGAUAGGGGUUAGGAUAAAGAUUUUUAGCUGACUCUUGCUGUAUAUUCUGACAUGCUUAAGCUCCCGUAUCAUCCCAACAUAUUUGUUCAUUUGUCCUGUAGAUGAACUUCUUAUUUUAGCUAUCAUUGCCAUUUCAAAUUCCUUGUACUCCUUGUCAGCAGUCAGCCAGCAACUUGGUAUUGCCAUCUCGAGGGUACUGGAAAUAAUUAGUAGAUGUUUUCCAUCUUUAGUCAAAGUUACAAUGUCCAUUUUGCCCCACGUUUUUAUCAUUUGAUUUUCAAGUUUUUCAGAGCCUCGUGGCAAGUUUUAGUGAUCUGCUUCUUAAUGCAUGGACAAAUUAAGACUCUUAUAUCUAUCAACCUGGUUUUCUCAUAUUAUUUUCCUGUCAGAAUAACAAAUUCGGCCAGCUCUAACUGAUGGUGAGUUCACAAUUUUGGUGAACUAGCUAUUUUAGAAGGUAAUUACCUGAUGUUUCUCAUUACUCAAAGUGCGCAUCAGAGCUUUGAAGGUUGCAUUACGUCAUAGAGGUCUUUCAUUUGAGCUAAUGGUAUUGCCUGACCUUUCUUUUGUCACUUAUGAGUGGUAAGAUGGUUCAUGCUCAAUAUUUCUGUUAUUAGCAAGGUACUGGCGAAUGGAUUAUCUUACUCUUCUACAUCACAGUUUAAUUUUUGGGAACAUGUUCUUUAUAUUGUUAUCACAUGGACGACAUUUGGAGUCUGUAUGUUUACCUGCUGUCUUAUAGUUCUUACUAUAUGAACUCCUAGAAGACAAUUAGACAUGGACGGAGUGAAUUCUAUUUGCAUGUUGAUUGGAUAGGACACUGCAAGGCAAAUUCUUAAUGGAGCUCCUGGCGUGGUGGUAAUUGAUGACCGGACAUCCAAUCACUUCCCUACACCCUUGGAGGUUUGUUUCUUGAUUUAUGCAAUAAUUUUUAUGACAGUUAGGCAUCAUAAUGAGGACACUGGAUUGCCAUUGGAUAACUGUCAUGCUGAAGUAGUGUACGAAUUUGUUUUCUUUGUAACUGAGCACUUGAUGAUGCAUUAAGUUUAAAGAAGAAAAUUCCAACUGCAGGUAUCAAACAAAGAUGAUGUUGCAGUAGGACGGAUUCGUCAAGAUUUAUCUCAAGAUGGCAACCUUGGGUAAUCUGACUUUCCUUUAGUCAAAAUUCUAGUGGCUACUACCAGUAGGAUUACCAGUAUUACCAUCAUUAUUCUUUUGAGCAAUAUGAUGUAUGUUGUACUACUAGGUUUCUCGCUACUUUAUAUGGUUACUAGUAUCAUCAGACCACAUGAUAUGUUAACUAGAAGAUUUCGCACAGGUUGGACAUAUUUGUCUGUGGGGAUCAGAUCCGUAAAGGAGCUGCGCUAAAUGCCAUCCAGAUCGCUGAAAAGUUGCUUCAGUAGAUAUGCAGAUUGUUCUGCAAGUGGCUGGGCAUUGUUUUUUUGUCAACUGUUGUUUGGAGAGAAUCAUUAGGAAGCAAAGCAGAAAUUAGAGUGGGUUUAGCUUCCCUGAGAAUGAUGUAUCAUUUGCUUGUGUUAUAGGAGAGAGCAAAUUUUGGGUAAUGGUCUAUUAUUUAGUAUCGGUUGGUAAGUUAGUAAUUAUACGGUGAGGUACUUGUUUAUCAACUGCUUUGAGAAUAAGAAUGCCAUUUGCAAUUCUGUAUUAUCAAUUUGCUUUUCUGAUAAACAUGUUUUUGAUCAUCGGAUGGUUGCUAACAUAAAGCUAUAGCACGAAAGAUUAAACUUCAAGAGGCUUUCUAGUGACUUGCAUAGGCUGUUGUUCAAUUUGUCAUACCAGCCGAUUUGACUUCAUUAAAGUUUCUUAGUAUGAUUAAAACUCGAAAUUUUGGUAUGUAUUUUCAGUUAUUCUUUGUAGUCUUCAUCUUAUUGUUUUAUCCAGAUAGAGAAGCUGUUCUUUUUCAUAAUAAAUAGAACUAUGCUUGGGUGUAAAUUAUUAAAUUAAUUACUGUUUUAAUUGCCUGUGGUAUUGUAGUUAUUAAAAGUAGCCAGUUUAAAUUCUAGGUGCUACUUCAGCAGGAUCCCUUGAUGUAACAUCAGGUUGAGCAGGUUGAAGACAAACACUAAUACUAGCUAAAAUAAGAUGAUCAUGACCAUAUCCCUGAUGUUCUAUAUAUAUGAUUAUAUCUGUUCUUCUCCCCAGCUUUCUUGCCAUCUCAAUAAUUUGGCUUCGCUCCGCAGCAGCAAGCCUCCAAUACCUGGCAGGCUCACUUGGUUGCUGGGAUAAAGCAAUCAGCAUAUCUGUUGUUCUACUCUAAUUAGGCCAUGUUUGAUUGACAGGAAUUAAUAGAUGGAAUUGGGUUUGGAAAUGCUGUUCCAGGCUAAUUCCAUGUUGGUAACUUACCUGGAUGUAGAAAUGCUGAUCCCUAGCAUUAGAUUCCCAUAAAAGAGUAAAACUAUAUGUAAGGAGGGACAUGAAUAAUACUAAAAAGAGAUAUAUCAUGUCAUAUCAUAUCAAUUAUUUAUUUAUUAAUUUAUUAUAUAAUAUUUGAACUCUAUAGUAGUAUUGUAUGUAGUUUUCAGUAUUAUAUAUUAUUAAUGAUAUUAUUACGUCAUCACAGUAUUGCAUAUUAUUAAAUUAAUUUUAUAGUUAUAAUAAUAUUAAACAUACAUUAUAAUUAUCACAUGAUACUUGUAUUGCUAGAUUAUAUAGUUUAUUACUUCUAUUUGCAUUACUUUUUAAUCAAAAAAAUAUAUUAGUACUAGUAUCAGCAUUAAUAAUAUCAUGCUAUAUUAAUAAUAUUAAUUGCUUUGGGAAGACAAUCCUCCACGACCAGGAAACCUGGAUUUUCUUCUCACUGUAGUCCAACCUUGGUCAUCUGGGUUGUUUCCUUGCUCAGCUUCAUUAGCAACAGUAUUGGUGCGACUUGCCAUAGUAUAAUAAUACAGGCAAUCAUGGAGUUUCUCUAUGAUGGUGGUAGGGUGACGAAUCGAGACUCAUUACUCACUAUAUCAAUGGCAAUUCGUCGCCCGUUGACUAGAGAAUGGCCCGAUCCAAGUCUACAAAUCUCUAAAAUAUAUGGGUCGGAAAUCAAGUUAAAAACACUUGACUGUUGGGAAAAGGCAUAGAAAAUGCUAAGCAAAGAAGUUCGAAAAAUUAUCCUCAACUUGGUAACCCGAACAUAAGAAAUAUAUAAUCUUAUAGAAGAACUUAAAACAUUUUUCAUGAAUGGUCCAAGAGUUUGAAUGGGGAACCUUCUUUUGAAACCUUCCUUACGGCAAUAAGAGCAUAGGUUACUCUACUAGUUUCUCCAUUUUUCCCAUGGUUGUAUUUACCAUCCUUCAUAAUGUCAUGGGCAGCCGUACUGAAGAAUAACUGAAUCGUCAUCGCUGCCAUACUGAAGAACAGCCAAACCGCCUCCACCACUGCCCUUCGGAUAAUGCACCAGUACCUGCUAAAAAAGAAAGGGGGAAGCCGUCCAGCCCUAGGGUUGUCCUCCGCUAAGGCCCAGAUGGCCCUUUAUACCUCAUUCUCCGAUACUGCUCGAAUCAAAUAUGUAUUCUCCUCCAGCCCAAUUCCACGAUCUGACGCAGCAAAUCGAAUGGGCACCUCCAAGUUGCUAUCCUUCAUCUACUUGGACCUAAAAAAGUCAAACAGAAUUUGCCUGAUCCUGCUCUCCUCCUCGACCCUCUGUCCUGGCUCAUCCCGUAGGGAGCAGAUCGUGUUUUUAUGUCGUCCUUCCUGAUCCACUAGACGAAUCGAGUGCUCAUGUCGCCCUUCCUGAUCCAUUGGACUCUGUACUUUUAUCGCCAAAAGACCUUUUGCUGCCGCAAAAGAGAAUGGUGCAUCACCAGCUUCUGUCGUAGUGCAACCAUGUCAGCCUCUAGUAGUUCGCCACUCCUGUCCUCCCUUCCCUGAAGCUCAGUGAUGGACUCCACCUCCUCCAAUCAUCUAAAGAUGUCAUCCACCAUCUCACGAUUCCAUCUGCGCAGUCGCCACUUGGUGAGCUCCAGUUUGUGAGAGACCCUCUGCAUGGUAUUUCUUCGCACCGGCAACCCCCAGGCCCCCCAGACAAUAUCUCAAGAUUGGGGAUGCAAGAGCCACAACUUCUCAAAGUGGGAGGGAUUGUGAUGGCCGGUGCCUGAAGCAGUAAUGAUCAAAAGUGGAAGUGGUCAGAAGCAAUCCGAGACAGAUGACGUACUUGAUAAGCAAGAAAUCGCUAGAUCCAACAUGCUAAUGCCACAGCUCUAUCAACCCUCUCCCACACUCUAGCACGACCCAAAUGGUUGUUACACCAGGUAAAUCUCAGCCUAGAGAAACUGAGGUCCACCAACCUAUUCACUGUCAAAACAUCUCGAAAUUCCCUUCUCUCCAUCUUAUUAGUAUAGACCCUACCACCUCUCUUCUCGCUGGGUCCUUGAAUGCAGUUGAAGUCAUCCGUGACCACAAUCGGAAUCCUCUAGGAGACAAGGUUAGUAAUCUCACCCAAGAGGGCUCUCCUUAUCCUGUAGUCAGUACUAGCAUAUACACCAGACAUAAUCCAGGAGAACUCAUUGGAUUCCGAGAUUAUCAUUACAACUUGUUGGGGGAAGUUGUGGAAAACAUCCACCAUUGCAACACCUCGCUUCCACAAGAUCAAAAUACCCCUGGACAAGCUUUGAAACUCCACAGCAACGAACUCCCAGGUAGCAGACAAGUGGUGCUGAACUCGAUGGAGGCCCUCUGCAGAGAGACUCGUCUCACAUAGGAAACAGAUGCCCAAGCCGUUCACCUCGACCAGUCUUCUAAAUGAGGAGUUGAAGGAGGGCUUGGCUGCUCCCCUACAAUUUCAAACAAAGAUCUUCAUUCUGCGCCACUCUGCAAGUUUGGCCCUUGCUCCUCACCACACAGGGCUACACCAAUUUUCCCCCAGGUUGGGUCGGCCCACUACCAGCCCUUUCCUCUUCAACCGAAGCCGAUGCCUCCCCCAUUACUGCUGAGCGCUCCAGCAUCACUGCUCUAAGGUGAUCCAGGGGGCUUUAGCUCCACUGUGGGCUGGUCAGCCCAACGCCAGUUUGCUGCCAUCAACCUCCUCCUCGAACACAUUCCCACCCAGCCCGGACUCCAAGGAUUCUACGUCCGAGCUACCUGAGGUGCCAACGCCCAGUGAGACAGUGCCCGAAGCAGACCAUAGAGGCCCCACCACCGACGCCCCCGGCAGAGACAAGGGAUGGCCGAGGGUCGCCGUGGUUGGAGGCGACCGCACCGGAGAAGACAUCCGAGGAGGAGGGGAAGGGGGGCAACCCCCAGCUCCUGUGUGCCCAGGCCUGACCCCGAGCCUAGUUCGAGCCCAGCCUGACGUUCGAGCGCCAUGAUCGCACCUAGCUCAGUAGAGUGGGUGGUCCGGCCCAAACUCCUAGGCUAGCCCCCAUCACCCUGGCCCAGACCCACUCCAGCCUAAUCGGACACUAGGCUUCUGGGCUGCUUGUUGGACGAGCCCAGGCCCACUUCAUCAUCUGGACGUCUGGGCUAGCUUGCAUUCUGGCCGGCCCAGCACCCAUUGUGUCAGACUCAAGUAGACUAGUUCGGUAAACGGGUCAAAACUUGACCCGACUCAGCCACACCCCUGAGCCGAUCCCGACCCUAGGCCCGAGUCACUGCCCUCGCCGACCGACCGGACCUUUGGGGGGGAGCACCACCGCACCACGUUCGCUAGUUUUUGCCAGCCGCCCGAGACUGGCAGCGAGCUUGGAGAACUCGGGCGGUUGGGCGGAAAUUGUGGCCUAGAGGAGGACGACUCAGGCGUUGACUCGGUUGUCUUCCUCAGCCGUGGUGGUCCCUUCGCCGCGCGUGACGACUGAAUCCUCUUGGCUGCCAGCCACGGGCCAAAGAUCGACCGAUGAUGUCCUCGUCAGAGCUAAAGUCCAACUCCUCCCGAUUGCCGCCGGUCCCCACCACCAUGGGUGCCCACUUUUGCCCCUCCUCCUCCAGCGCCGAAAAUCUACACUCCGCCUCCACGUGCCCAAUCCACCCGCAACUAUAGCAAAACCCGACCACAUCCAUAUAGAGGAAAGGCUGCCACAACACCCUCGCUUUCCUCCUGAACUGGACAUCAGGCAGUAGCAGCUGAGUAACAUCGAUUGACACCUUAACUCAAGCAAACCCCAUGACUUUCUGCCUCUCAGUGAUCUCAUCGACGGCGAGCAGCCGACCGGCCACCGCCAUGAUCCAAAAGAUCGUCUUACUUGACCAGUAUUCCACUAGGAGCCGAGGCAGCCAGAUUUAGACUACCACUACUUUUACAACGUCUAGUCUCGGCACAAAAUCAGGAGCCCAUGGCUCUAUGGCCCGCAACUAGCCCGCCACCACCUGUGGCCCAUCGGACAGAACUAGAUCCCGGUCUGUCGUUGAUUUGAACCGAAGCACGAGGUGGUCGUCGAUAAGCAGCACUGCCUCCACCUUUGCCUCUGUUUUCUCCCGAAGAGCUACAUCCUAGGCCACCCACUCCGUUGGCACUCGAUGGCCCAAACUAUGGACCACCAUCGCUCGAUCCUUCCACUCCCUUUGCGAGCCUCGAUCGGCUCCUCCGAUAGCUCGAGGACCGCUGAGAUCAGUCUCCGGAGCUUCUCCACCUCCAUCUCUAAGAUUAGGUGUGUUGUCCAGUCCCCAAGGCUCGCCCAAGCACCCGUCUCCUCCCCUCUCGCCGAUGAACCCUGGUCUCCACCCGUAGCAGCGCCGCCCAUGGCCUUGCUAGCCUCAGCCUUCUUCACCAUCGUCAGUUGCGCACGCUUUUCAAAGUUUUGCCGGAGCGAACUAGCUGUCGUUAGCCAAAUGGACUGAAAAAUCUUUUGGAUUUCUGGAAUGGAUCAGUGCAAUCAGUAAAGCCAUGCAAUUAAAGAUUAAGAUCGAUUAUGUAUAAGUAUCCAGAAAUAGUUUUAACGUCGAUUGGCUCGAAUUAGAGAGAGAGAGAGAUCAGGCUUUUAUCGGUGACGUAGAAAAUGCUGAGUAAUCGUGGUAGGACCGCAUGUGGAGGUUCCCAUCGAUUCAGUUUACUGUCUUUAUAACCAGAGAUCAUUACAGAAUACAGAGUAAUCGGCGACUCCAAAAUAAAGUGUCUCCUUCCUCCACAGUCCACACCCUCUCUCUCUCUCCCCACCAUGGCCGCGGAGACCGAGGCGGCGGCGGCACCGCCGGAGGACCGGGAGGCUGAGGCCCUCCGUAUGAAAUCCCUAGCGGAGGAGAAGCUCCGGUCGUCAUCCCUUAAAGCCGCCCUCAAGUACGCGAAGCGCGCGGCCCGUCUCCGCCCUGACCUCGAUGGCGUCUCUCAGAUGGUCACCGCCCUCAAGAUCCUCCGCGCCGACCCCUCCGACCACUACAAGGUCCUCCGCAUCCCCCCCUUCUCCCUGCCCUCCUCCAUCCGACGCCAGUACAAGACCCUCGCCCUCGCCCUCCACCCCGACAAGUCCUCCUCCUCUGUCCCCUCCGCCUCUGCCGCCACCUCCGAGGCCUUCAAGCGCGUCACCGACUCCUUCCGCUUCCUCUCCGACCGCGGCCGCAAGCGCGACUUCGACCUCUCCCUCCGCCUCGCCAAGGAGAAGGAGGCCUCCGCAGCAGCGGAGGGGCCGGUGGAGACAUUCUGGACCGCCUGCACCACUUGCCGCCUUCUCCACGAGUUUGACCGCCGGUACGUCGGGUACCGCCUCAUUUGCCCUGGCUGCCGCAAGAGCUUCCUCGCCGUCGAGGUCCCCCCCUCCGUCGACGACGACGGCGGCAAGCUCGAGAACAACGGAGGUGGCGGCGGCAGCGGUGGCGCGAUGGUUAGGGUUACUCGGUCCAGGUCCAAUACUAGGCCUAGGAUUCCCCGGUUCCCCCCCCUGGCGGGAGAUGACAAGAGGAAAGCUGAAGUUUCUAGGGUUUCUACUUCCCCGGUGUCCAAGAAACUCUCGCAGAGGCCGGAGAAGACACUGGCCGAGAUGCAGAAGGAGCUUGCAAAGGGGAAGGUGAAGGAGAAGAAGAAAGAAAAGGGGAAGGAGGAGGAGGAGAAGGAGAAGGAGGAGGGUAAAGAGAAGAAAGCUAUGGUGCCUAUGAAGCAUAAAGAUGACGAGUUGAUCUCGAUGGCAGUGGAGGACUCCGAUUUCUAUGAUUUCGACAAGGAUAGGACUGAGAAGAGUUUCAGGAAAGGGCAGAUUUGGGCUAUCUAUGAUGAUGAUGAUGGGAUGCCUCGGCAUUAUGGUCUGAUAGAAGAGGUGUUCUCUUCGAAUCCAUUCAGAGUGAAGAUGAGUUGGUUGGACAUCCAGAAUCAUGGGGAUGAGUCCCUGGUGCUGUGGGAGAAGUCAGGAUUCCACAUAUCCUGCGGGCGGUUCAAGGUCGGGAGGAAGGUUGACAUUGAUUCGGUGAACUUCUUCUCCCAUUUAGUUGAAUGCGAGAGGGCAGCGAGGGAUGUCUAUAGGAUUUACCCUAAGAAAGGUUCGGCUUGGGCGCUGUACGGUGAAAGGACUUUGGGGGGUGAUGAGGGGAGGUACUAUGAUAUAGUCGUGUUCCUUACCAGCUAUAGUGAGAUGCAUGGUUUGAGCAUGGCUUAUCUUGAGAAGGUAGAAGGGUACAAGACCAUAUUUAAGAGGCAGGCAAUUGGUUGUCAUGCUGUCAAGUGGAUUGAGAAAGAUGAUGUUAGGCUGUUCUCGCAUCAAAUUCCAGCCCGGAAGCUUUUGGAUACAGAGGGACUGAAUCUGCCAAGAGAGUGUUGGGAGCUCGAUCCUGCCUCACUUCCUCCGGAGUUGCUUAACAUUUGUUGGGAUGGAUAAUAUGCUACUCUCGUGCUGUCAUUACUGUGAUAGGAUAUGGUAUUUUAGAAGCCAAGUUCCCUAUGAGCUGAUGAUAUUGUUUUGCCACCCCAGCUGUUCUUUUCUAUUAGGUGAUUAGCAGAACUCAAAUUGUCCAUGAGCCAAAUUCCCUAUGAGUCAGAUUCCUUCUGGUGUUCGUCUGCUUGAACUUUAAAUUAUCCUGCUUUCAUCUGAUUUUACAUGUUAACUGCCUAUACAAUGUUCCCAAAAUGUUGUUCCUGUUCCUCAUUGAAAUUAGUAAGUAGCACAGCUUUAAAGACCUUAUUGCAAUUUGAAUGCUUUGAAUGUUCUUUUUAACACUUCGUACAUGGUUUGAGUUCUUCCUAGGCUUUUCUAUUUUUACUUAGAUUUUUUAGUUUCUAAUCUUAACAUGAGGUAUAAAGCUAUAUGAAGUAAAAAUAAGACAUCAACAAGUCAGCAUGCUUUGAUAUUGCUUCAUUUUGCAAUAGCAGGAAACAAAUACAUGUGAAUGACUCCCUUUUCUUUUAUGUCAUUGAUGAAGCAGCUUUUUUGAUCUUAUUUUAACCAGUAUAGAUAUAAACAGUACAGUAAAAUAUUAAAUUGCCAAAAAGAUGCUCUUAAUAAAGUCAAUUCACAUAUAACAUGAAUUCAUAUAAAUAUGUAUUUGUCUAUGAAGGUUUACUACAUUUCAUAAAAUGGCUCCUCAUUUAUUACACUUAGAUACCAAUAUCAUGCAUGUUUUGUGAUAUUUAAAAUCUUAAUUAGUUGUUGCCCUCUGAUACAUUUUUGCCCAUCUUGACCUCAUUUACUUAUGUGUAAUAGUUGUAUUCAUUUGAAAUAUGACAUGAGAAUUCCUGAAUGUAUUCCACAAUGGAAGUUUUUCUGGGAUAUAGCACAGGGGUUUGUUUUAUUCUCAUAGCGUCACCGACAAAGCUACUAAAUACUAGGUGGAGAAGCCAGGGGCCUCGUUUACAGUUCACACACAAUGAGCUUCUUCUCCUCAAAUGUCCAUUAAGCUAGCUGGACAAGUUGAUGUAUGAGUUGUUUAAUAUAUAGCUUCAUGAGGGCUUUUGGUGGGGACACAGACCACCGUUUCCAGCAUGUGUAUAGGCGUCGCCGGCGUGCAUAGCACUUUAGCCGCCCUAGUUUNNNNNNNNNNNNNNNNNNNNNNNNNNNNNNNNNNNNNNNNNNNNNNNNNNNNNNNNNNNNNNNNNNNNNNNNNNNNNNNNNNNNNNNNNNNNNNNNNNNNNNNNNNNNNNNNNNNNNNNNNNNNNNNNNNNNNNNNNNNNNNNNNNNNNNNNNNNNNNNNNNNNNNNNNNNNNNNNNNNNNNNNNNNNNNNNNNNNNNNNNNNNNNNNNNNNNNNNNNNNNNNNNNNNNNNNNNNNNNNNNNNNNNNNNNNNNNNNNNNNNNNNNNNNNNNNNNNNNNNNNNNNNNNNNNNNNNNNNNNNNNNNUCAGUUUGGUAUCAGAGCACCGUUGGGCUUUGCCUCUGUGCCAACGCCCCGAUCCUGUCUGUCUAUUUCCCUCCCCUUUCUUUCUCUGCCAUUUUCUGGGCUGCAGUGGGACAGACUACAAAAAAAAAUCCUUUGUUGUCUCCUCUGUUCCCGAAACUCCCACAGAGAUCUACCCUGUGUAUGGCGGAGCAGCGCCGAAUUCCGGGAUUCAGGUGGGCACACGAGAUCUACGCUGCACCCCGACCACCACGGACGCCGGAGCGUGUUGAAGGACCACGCCCAACUUGUGUGACCAGAAAAGGAAGGAGCCUAGCCUCCCUAAUUUCUUCACUGUCUCUUGGUUCCACCGUCGCAGCCGCAGACCCCACUCACAGAGAAGAGAUCCGGGGAGAGCAACGGUGCUCGGAUCAGGUGGUAGACCGCCGUCCACCACCGCAGGCCACGGGAUCCACUCUGCAGCAAUAGCCACAGAGUCCGGAACUACCUCCCGAAACCGUCGGGAGGUUGGAGGAGCACUGAUUAACGGGUAAGUCUCUCACCCGUUACCCAGUUUAUUAGCCCGGAUCCACUCCCAAAAAAAAAAGAGCACGUGCCCCAACCCACGUGAGGCACACGUGCUUCAUCGCACGUGAGUCGCACAAGUUAUUCCAAAAAAAAAAAGUACCUUUCUUCCCCGAGAUCUCCAUUGCAGAGCCGCUGCCGGCCGGCCGCAGCACCGCCUCCUUGCCGACGAACCACGCCGCCGAGCUCCUCUGCACGCUGCGCCGCCUCAGUCCUCGCCGUGCCGCAGCUCCACCCCACUCAUCAUCCUCUUCCUCACCACCGCCUCGGUCACACCACCACCUUCCCCUUCAUCUUCUCCGCUGCUUCCACCCUCCACCAACCUUCGAAUCCACCUUGUUCGUCUCCCUCCCGGCUCACUGAAACUUUCUCCCUCCCAUACCUCAUCUCUAAAAACCCUAAUCCCCUUUCUUCUUCUCCCUUUCAUCUCACCGAGACCCCUUCUUCUUCUGUGCCGCCACCCCCGACUUCCGUUGCCGACUCCAUCCUCCGCCUUCGCCGACCCCCUCGCUCCCCAAAACGAGGGAUCCCACCCUCCGACAUCGCUCCUCUUUCACUCUUCCCCCUCCCCCUCCGGUGUUUCCCUCAGAUCUACUCUCAAACACA